rnacentral:misc_RNA from 1 species
CUACCGAUAAGGUAGUGAAAAGAAAUAAGUUAAUCGUUCAUAAUGUAUAAACAAUAGGUAAAUAUUUUCAUUUUUUUCUGCUGUUACGGUUAUACGCCUGCGUUCUUACGGUGCUACAAUCUUCUUCAAUUAUUUCUUUAGUAUAUCGAUAACAUAGAACGUGAUUUAAUGAACAAAGCAAAAUACAUCAAAAGGAGUCAGAAAAUUUUUGAGUUGUAACGGCCAUCCUCCUUGUACUGCGUUUCAACAGCAUGGCGCUUGAAGAAAAUAAAAAUAAAUAUUCUAACAUAGAGUAUGUACGUACGAAUAUGCUUUGGAUGGACAUAAAGAUUGUUGAUCCUGAAAUGGAAACCUUAAUGAAACAAAUUAAUGAGGAGCAAACAAAAUUAAAGGAAGCACUGCGUGAGAAACUGUAUUUAAUAAGAUUUGAUACUGAUUUUGUACAGAAAGAAAAUGAACAAUUAAAAGAUUGGUUAAGCUUUAAAGGAAUACAAUUUGAGGUAAAGAAGGAGCAUUCAAGCAUUGAUGCACCAAAUGAAAUUCUUAUAAAGGAGGAACUAAUACAUAAUGUAACAAAUGCGAAUGAACACCACGUAGAAAAGUUUAAUGAUCAAAUUUCAGAAAAAUUUAGUCAUAUAGAGAAAAGUAAUAAUAAAUCAGCUCAAGAGAUAACGGAUACCAAAGAAGAAACUAAUAGAUUGAAGAGUUGCUACGUAAAGCUAAAUAAAAAGGAAAGUAAAGAUUAUAAAGAAAGUAAAGAUGACAGUUUGAAGAAAGAUAGUCAAAAUAUGAAUAUAAAGGUUGAUGUUUCCAAUGUUAAUAAUCAAAAUAAAGAUGAAGAAUCUGCUAUUGCAAAAAGAACACGUAAAAGUACACAAGUAAACAUAUCGGUUGAAAAUAUUUGGUUGAGCGAAAAGAAAUCUAAACAUGGUAUGGAAAGACUUAGACUUGUUAAAAAUUAUAAAACGACUAAUAAAAGGAAAAAAAAUACCAAAAGGAAGAUAGAAGGAGUACAAAAUAAAGAGGAUAUUGAUAUUCUAGAUCAACCUUAAGGAUUUUACUCUAAUAAAGUUCUAUAAUAGAGUAAUUUAUAACACAAAAAUACAGUUACAUUACAUAUUUUAAUGUAUGUUUUGUCUCUCUUUCCUGGAUUCAUGUUUGCAGUAAUCAGAAAACGUAUGUAUUCGUAACUAUUUGUAUUCAGGUCAUUAUCAUAAAAACAUUACAUUUUUUCUUUAGAUGAUAUUAAUAACAUAUUUAUCUCAUGUAGACGGAUGAAACUUACAAUUAGCAUAGUUUUGAUUAAAAUAAUUAUGUAUAGAUAUUUACAGAAAAGGGAGAAAUUUUUAACGCAUGAAUAUAUCUGCCUAAUUAAAAAAUCUCUUUGUCUAAGCUAUGUUUUAGAUUUAAUAUUAGUUUUGUCGCUUGUGUAGAAGAUGAUUUAUUAAUAAAUAUAA